rnacentral:sRNA from 1 species
AGGGAAGUUCUGAGGGAGUGUUGAAGGACUGUUGGGUUAGAAUGCCUGUUCCUCCGUGCAUAUGAGGAAAGCUCAGGACACAUCAAAGCAAACACCAAAUGGAUUGCUUCUGACUCCGAGUCCACUGCUCUCCAGCAUACAUUUCUGGAGCAGCCUUAGUCCAGUUGCUCCGCUGAGUCCUGCCAGGCUGCAAGGGCCAAGCACGCUGUUCCAGUUCCCCACACUGCUUAAUGGCCACAUGCCAGUGCCAAUCCCCAGUCUGGACAGAGCUGCUUCUCCAGUACUGCUUUCUUCAAACUCUCAGAAAUCCUGAUGACGUCUGGCCACAAUUAAGGACUCAUUAACUGAUGAAACAAAUUUGUCCCCAUGGGCUAGUUUACCUGUGUCAUGAGAAGGACAUUGUGAAACUCUGUUAAUUUGGUUUGCACUUUUCAUAACAUGGAUAGUCUAGAUUUAUGUUGGCAUUUUAAAAACUUUUUGAUAUAUUCAAGUAUAUAUGAAAAUCUGUUUGGCAUUAAGUGAAUUUUAAUGUUUUUGUUUUUAUAUCCUUUUAGCUCUUAAGUGUUGAACACUGUUGACAGUGAAGAACUUUUCUUAAUGGUUUUCAGUAUAACUAAUAA